AGAACCCGCCAGGAAUCGAUCAAUGGCAGCGUCGGAGAAAACCACGAAUCCUAACCACUAGACCACAUGGGA